rnacentral:rRNA from 1 species
UGGGGAAUUUUGGACAAUGGGCGCAAGCCUGAUCCAGCCAUGCCGCGUGAGUGAAGAAGGCCCUCGGGUUGUAAAGCUCUUUUGUCCGGAAAGAAAAGCAUUCGGUGAAUACCCGGAUGUUCUGACGGUACCGGAAGAAUAAGCACCGGCUAACUUCGUGCCAGCAGCCGCGGUAAUACGAAGGGUGCAAGCGUUACUCGGAAUUACUGGGCGUAAAGCGUGCGUAGGUGGUUGUUUAAGUCGGAUGUGAAAGCCCUGGGCUCAACCUGGGAAUGGCAUUGGAAACUGGGCAGCUAGAGUGCGGUAGAGGGUAGUGGAAUUCCCGGUGUAGCAGUGAAAUGCGUAGAGAUCGGGAGGAACAUCUGUGGCGAAGGCGACUGCCUGGACCAGCACUGACACUGAGGCACGAAAGCGUGGGGAGCAAACA